rnacentral:rRNA from 1 species
UACAGAGGUCUCAAGCGUUGUUCGGAUUCAUUGGGCGUAAAGGGUGCGUAGGCGGCGCGGUAAGUCGGGUGUGAAAUCUCGGGGCUUAACUCCGAAACUGCAUUCGAUACUGCCGUGCUUGAGGACUGGAGAGGAGACUGGAAUUUACGGUGUAGCGGUGAAAAUGCGUAGAUAUCGUAAGGAAGACCAGUGGCGAAGGCGGGUCUCUGGACAGUUCCUGACACUGAGGCACGAAGGCCAGGGGAGCAAACGGG